rnacentral:rRNA from 1 species
CACUCCUGCGGGAGGCAGCAGUGGGGAAUAUUGGACAAUGGGCGCAAGCCUGAUCCAGCCAUGCCGCGUGAGUGAUGAAGGCCCUAGGGUUGUAAAGCUCUUUCACCGGUGAAGAUAAUGACGGUAACCGGAGAAGAAGCCCCGGCUAACUUCGUGCCAGCAGCCGCGGUAAUACGAAGGGGGCUAGCGUUGUUCGGAUUUACUGGGCGUAAAGCGCACGUAGGCGGACUAUUAAGUCAGGGGUGAAAUCCCGGGGCUCAACCCCGGAACUGCCUUUGAUACUGGUAGUCUUGAGUUCGAGAGAGGUGAGUGGAAUUCCGAGUGCAGAGGUGAAAUUCGUAGAUAUUCGGAGGAACACCAGUGGCGAAGGCGGCUCACUGGCUCGAUACUGACGCUGAGGUGCGAAAGCGUGGGGAGCAAACAGGAUUAGAUACCCGUGUAGUCCC